rnacentral:piRNA from 1 species
AAAUGAGGGAUUUGUAAGAAACUAG